ensembl:lncRNA
AUGCUAACGGCUAACGCAACACAAACAGGAGCGGCAGCACGUCAACAGGACAAAAGCUCGAUCCACCGCUUCCUGCCUGUCGCCGAUCGAAGGCCCAUCGCUAUUAGCUGUUCCCCACACAGUUCCAGACCGGACCGCCAGUCACAAAGCAGAAAUCAGCAGCCGCUGAGAAUCCAGUCAGAUGAUCCUCGCUUCAGGGAAAAGGUCCGAGCCCUACACAAAAUCACUGUUGCAUUCCACCAUCUCCGGAACUGGUCCGGAGCCCGGGCACCAUCCCAGGUAAGCAAGAUGACGGAGACUCUUGCUACCUUUAUAAAACCAGCUUCUCCCACACACACAACACUCCUCCUAAUUGAGGGUAAUGCAAAAAAUUGGGAAUAUAAUAAUAUCACCAUAAUGAAGCAACAUUAUGAGGAUGUGAUGCAACAGCAUCUCCUUGAGAUGGCUGAUGCCCAACAUCAGGACUGGAGGGGUCCCUUUGAGGUGGCGUCAGGCUGGGCCCGUCGCAAUUUGGGUCGGCGCCUCCUUCCCAAGACCCUGCAGGAGGCUGAGACUUUUUUGACAGACAACCUGGACGCACGAGGUGCACUGGACCCACCUGGGAGCCCCUCCCGAGCCCAAUCAGAUGACUCCUCCCUAUCAGCAUCACCUCAGGCAAUCCCCUCAGCAUCCCCCGUCUCCCACACAUCAUCACAAUCUCCUGCGGCCACACGCAGCACUGCAGCCCAAAUACAUUCACCUGCUGCAGCUAGCAUCACAUCUCUUGCCCCACCUCGAACAGUCACCACUGCCUCCAUGGGCACUAUGACUCACCUGAGGGGCGGGGAUUGGUCCCCCCUCCCCUCCCAACAAUCAGAAGGAGAGGAGAGUAUGGCUGAGGAAGAGGAGUACAACAAUGAUGUUAAUGAUGAACAUUAUCAUUAUGUUAAGGAUGAGGGAGAGGAUGUUGAUGAUGACGACGAUGACAACGCCCAUCCUCAUCUGCUCUCACACUCUACCCCAGUGUCUCCCACUCCUCCCAUGGUCGCAAACACGCCACCAUCUCCUAAAUCACAGAGAGAACCCAGGACUGGCUCCAGGUCCAAAUUCAGCACUCGCCAGUCUGAGGAGGAAGAUCUGCUCCCAAACACCCGAUUCGCGGAGGAUGAGACAUCCACAGUGGAGCCUUGCGCCCUGAGAUCGACACAGAGUUUCCCCAACGUCAGACUCCGGCCCCUCAGCUCCCACAUCACACCAAUACCCCCGCCAUCUUCAGUUGCAUUAAACUCACCUGCUGAUGAAGAGGAUGAAACAAUCAUCCGGCAGGGGACUGUCUCCUCUUCCUCCGGUUCUCCUUCUCCUUCCUCUCCUCCUCCUGCUGCUGCUGCGGCUGAACUCCAUCUUGCCUCUCCAGGCCCCCUCUCCCUGACCAAAAUGGGGCCUCUCUUUCUCCUCUCUCCUCCUGCAGCAGCCAGAUCUCCCCAUAGGAUGAGCCGCAGGCAACUUACCCUCAUGGAGAUCUUUGUCACCCCCUCUACUCCUCCUGGUACUGAAAUUUUCAAGCCCACUCGCCACCCCAACACCAGCAGGAAACUGAGGGACUGGAGCAUCUGCCUACAAAAAAAGAUGGUCAUUAUGGGGGAUUCCAACGUUGGCAUAUUUCCUCCCUUCACCGGAGAGGACCUGCAGGUCGACAGUUUUCCUGGGGCCACCUUCUACCAUGCAGAAUCCAUCCUGCAGAAAGCCACCUCUUCCACCCAGACACAGUCCAUCAUCCUGUCCUUCGGCAUCAACAGCAGGAACCAAAAAUCUCACUCUACUACCAUCAAACAACUCCAAGGUGCCUACAGAGUAGCCAAGAAGAGGUUCCCUCAGACUGCUGUUUACAUUCCAGAACUAAACUUCUCCCCAGCCCUCCCUCAGGUGGAGCAACACAACUUGUAUCUACUCAAUGAUUAUAUCAGAGAGAACUGUGAGUAUCUCACCUGCAUCCCCAGUGAGCUCUUUGAGGUCGAGGCAGACCUCAUCCACUGGUCUCCCACCACAGCGGGCCGUAUCCUUUCCCACUGGUUGCAGGGAAAUUAAACACUAUUAUAGAUAUUUACAUGACAUAUGGGGUAUUUGGACACAUUCAGAACAGGAUUUUGAGACAUUUUACAGACACUAAAUAAUCAUAACCCCUCCAUUAAGUCAAAAGCAACUACAGACACUCAUUCGGUUAAUUUCCUGAACACGACCACUUUCAAGGGCCCUAAAUUCACACAACAUGGAAAUUUGGACAUCAAAGUUUAUUUGAAGGAAACAGACGCUCACACACUCUGCCACAAGACAGCCAUCGCCUAAAGCACACAUUUAGAGGAUUGGUCAAGUCACAAUUACUUAGAUUGCAUAGGAUUUGCACACAAUAGGGAGAUUUCAUACGUGCCACCAAAAUCCUCUUUGGCGCUUUGG